rnacentral:rRNA from 1 species
CGCGAAUUCGCCCUUCGGGGUGCACCAGGCGCGAAAACUUUACAAUGCGGGAAACCGUGAUAAGGGGACACCGAGUGCCAGCAUCAUAUGCUGGCUGUCCAGGUGUGUAAAAUACACCUGUUAGCAAGGGCCGGGCAAGACCGGUGCCAGCCGCCGCGGUAACACCGGCGGCCCGAGUGGUGAUCGUGAUUAUUGGGUCUAAAGGGUCCGUAGCCGGUUUGGUCAGUCCUCCGGGAAAUCUGAUAGCUCAACUAUUAGGCUAUCGGGGGAUACUGCCAGGCUUGGAACCGGGAGAGGUAAGAGGUACUACAGGGGUAGGAGUGAAAUCUUGUAAUCCCUGUGGGACCACCUGUGGCGAAGGCGUCUUACCAGAACGGGUUCGACGGUGAGGGACGAAAGCUGGGGGCACGAACCGGAUUAGAUACCCGGGUAGUCCCAGCCGUAAACGAUGCUCGCUAGGUGUCAGGCAUGGCGCGACCGUGUCUGGUGCCGCAGGGAAGCCGUGAAGCGAGCCACCUGGGAAGUACGGCCGCAAGGCUGAAACUUAAAGGAAUUGGCGGGGGAGCAC